UACAGAGGUGGCAAGCGUUGUUCGGAAUUACUGGGCGUAAAGGGCGCGUAGGCGGCCAUCUAAGUCAGACGUGAAAUCCCCCGGCUUAACCUGGGAACUGCGUCUGAUACUGGAAGGCUUGAGUAUGGGAGAGGGAUGUAGAAUUCCAGGUGUAGCGGUGAAAUGCGUAGAUAUCUGGAGGAAUACCGGUGGCGAAGGCAGGUCACUGGGCCGCAACUGACGCUGAGGAGCGAAAGCAUGGGGAGCGAACAGG
rnacentral:rRNA from 1 species